UACGGGGGGGGCAAGCGUUGUUCGGAAUUACUGGGCGUAAAGGGCUCGUAGGUGGCCAACUAAGUCAGACGUGAAAUCCCUCGGCUUAACCGGGGAACUGCGUCUGAUACUGGAUGGCUUGAGUUCGGGAGAGGGAUGCGGAAUUCCAGGUGUAGCGGUGAAAUGCGUAGAUAUCUGGAGGAACACCGGUGGCGAAGGCGGCUCUCUGGUCCCAUACUGACGCUGAGGCGCGAAAGCUAGGGUAGCAAACAGG
rnacentral:rRNA from 1 species